CAGUCGCCGCGGUAAUACGGAGGGGGCUAGCGUUGUUCGGAAUUACCGGGCGUAAAGCGCACGUAGGCGGCUUGGUAAGUUAGAGGUGAAAGCCUGGAGCUCAACUCCAGAAUUGCCUUUAAGACUGCCGAGCUAGCAGGUGAGAGAGGUAAGUGGAAUUCCGAGUGUAGAGGUGAAAUUCGUAGAUAUUCGGAAGAACACCAGUGGCGAAGGCGGCUUACUGGCUCAUACUGGACGCUGAGGUGCGAAAGCGUGGGGAGCAAACAGGAUUAGAUACCCCUGUAGUCCCUGUCUCUUAUAC
rnacentral:rRNA from 1 species